rnacentral:rRNA from 1 species
UACGUAGGGACCAAGCGUUGCUCGGAUUUACUGGGCGUAAAGGGCGCGUAGGCGGCGUGUUAAGUCACUUGUGAAAUCUCUGAGCUUAACUCAGAACGGUCAAGUGAUACUGAUGUGCUAGAGUGCAGAAGGGGCAACCGGAAUUCUUGGUGUAGCGGUGAAAUGCGUAGAUAUCAAGAGGAACACCUGAGGUGAAGACGGGUUGCUGGGCUGACACUGACGCUGAGGCGCGAAAGCUAGGGGAGCAAACGGG